GGAAGGGAAGGGAAGGGAAGGGAAAAAAUUCCAAUCAUACAAAUUGAGAUGCUCUCAAUUUCAUUGCUUAACUCCAAAGACAAUAAGUAGGCAGGGUCUAACUUUGCGAAGGCUGAUUCUCUCUGACUAACUUGGCACUACUUCUGGAGUUAGGCAAUGCAUGUUAGCCAAAGGAAGAUUUUUCUGUGUGGGAUGCUUGGUGCCCUGGGAAGAAAAUGCAUUUGAUUUCAGAAGGUACCUCCUCCGGAUUUGCUCCCCACUACCACUGCCUAAGAAGUUGCUGCUGUCCUGCUGGCACUGAAGCUUCUUUUCAGAUUCAUUUAUCCUUUUUUCCCCCAAAUUUCACCAGUUUCUACAUCACUGUGCAAGCUGUUUAAGAGAUCAAGAGCUUUGGCUACUCUCAGAGGUUCCUGGUCCUGCCCGAAAACAUUUAAAAGUCUCUGAUGGAAACUCUAUGCCAAAUUCCCAAUUUCGUCCCCCAGUCCAACUCACAGUCUAAGUUUCUCACUUUGUUUGCCAUGCAUCUUUCCAGAGUCUUUGCCUCAGCUCUGCCUUGUUCCCUGUGCAUAAUAUCUUGUUAGCUUUUUGCAAACUGCUGGAUCAAGGGACAGGAAGAGAACUGGAAAAGCACACAACUCAUCCAGUGUGGGGGUGUAGACCACGUACAGUCACAGCAGCACAGAGCUGCAAUGGCAGGAAGAUACCUCCUUCCACUCCACAUUCAGAGAAAAUGACAUUUUCAGGGCAUUUAUAUUCUGGAAUUUCAAAAUGUGUGAUCUGUCUACAUUGACUUAUCAAGUAUGAGUGGGUUUUCAUGUAUAAAGAAGUUGCUCCUCACUAAAUGUAAAAUUGGCCUCCAAGCCAAGAACUACUGGAGUUUCUAGGCAAAAAGAUAGUUCUGACAAUGUAUAUUCCCUGCAAACUUUCUCUAACCCGAUCUUCCUCUUUAAGAAAGGGAAGUUAGUGGCUUAUAAGAGCCCUAAACAUUCUUCUUAGCAUUAUUCCAAAUUCUUCUACAGUACAAAAAAUAAGUUACAGGGGAAAAAAUUCCAACAAUCUGUUGAUGCUUUCCACAGAGAAUAAUCAUCUGAGGAUUGGAUUUGGAAAAUCAAACUAAAGAACCAGAUAUAAGAAAAACCUCCCCUAACAUGCUUCAGGAGUAACCUGUCAUCAGUUCAAUGGACCAGUUGGUAGCUUGGCAGUACGAUGAAUGCUCAAAACAAUGGAAACCAAUCCAAAGUACAAAUGCUGGAAAAGUAAAAAAUCAAGUAGUUACUGUUUUGAUUUGUUUUACUCCAUUCAUAUAAAUAUAGCACUCCAUGGAAAAUACAAAAAAAUUAUGGUUCAACAGAAUGGUCUCUGUGCUGAAGGUGUAUGUGUGGUAUCUUACAUCCACGGACAUGUUUAUCUAGCAUUGUUCCUACCUCUGUAAGGUACAUACCAAGCUAUUUUAAAACAAGAAUUUUAUUCCCCUUGUAACUGUUUUCUUCAUCAGUUUUAAUUAAAUAUAACAAGAAAAAUGGCAGCUGGAUUAAAUAACGUGCUGUGAGAGUAAAACUACCCGGUAGUCAAAGACAAAUAACAACAUAAAACCAAAAAUGCUAAUGGCAUACUAUGAGUGCAAUGAUCAACUGAUUAGCCGCUUAAUUUCUCAUUUGAAAUCAAAUUUGCAUACCUAACUUAUCAAUUCAGAUGUGACAGUAACAUUAAAAUUAAAUAUGUGUUUCAGUAUUUCAGUAAAUGACAGCCAUUGGUUAAAUAGCAAUAAUACUAGCCUUUGUGACAAACAUGUAGGGCACAUUGCCUAAUUCAUUUCAUUUUCAAAUGAACAAAGAGUGACUCUGAAUGCCUUGUUUCCCUACAAAUAUGCCUGGAAGGAUUGGUUGCUAACACUGGAGACUGAAAGAUGGUGGCUACAGAAAAUAAGCACCAUUUAUAAUGUCAAACCCAGCCUCUGAAGCAGAAGGGUGCUGCUCAGGCAUCAGCUCCCCAGACAAGAUAAGUGUUUUGGCUGUGGUUUGGACAUAGCUGCUCACCAGACAUAUUAGGUCUCCACGCAACAGUCUUGCUAGCAACUAAUAUCAACUCUCAAGAAGGAAAUCUGAGAUUUCUAAGGCUUUUUUACUGAGAAAAAAAUCUCCUCAAACGUCUAUGACAAUUAAUGGCUUAUGUAAUAUUUAAAUAUUCAUGUUCAGAAAAAUGACCACCAUAGAUCACUCAUCUGCGAAGUUUUGGUCAAUGUCUGCUUUACUGAUGAAGGUAUUGAGCCACCUCAGGGACAUUAAGAGCAAAAUUUUGCAAAAAAAAAAAAAAAAAGAUAUCUCCUCUGAUGCAUUUUUGAGUACUGCUAAUUAAUGUGUUGUUGUUUAGGACCAUGUAUCUGAGAUAACUAUAUCUUGUAACAACUUUUGCAUUAUAAAUUCCUAUUUAUGAAUCUGGGAACAGAGACAAAAUAAAAUCCAUUGUGGAUGAUUAUCACUGCUUUUUAAAUAUGAUUGAAAAACAAUAAGGAAAAGUAAAUGUUUUUUAUUUUUGUGACAAGGAUUGAAUUGCACCGCAUUCAGGUUACCUUUUCUUACAUUUUCUGUUUGUGACAAAGAUACUUGCCUGGAAUGUUAAUUCACUGAGGAUAGAGAAAAGAAAAAGAAGAACCUGGCAAAUUGGGACUUUAUCUGCUGCUACACAUUUAGAAUGGUGGAAACACAGCUUAAAGAGAUGAAGAAACAAACCAUAGUGCAAGAUGUGUGGCAAAACCUGCAUGCAGAAAUCACAAAGCUAUGAAGACUGUUAUGCAAGACUGUGGAUUACCACAUGAUUAUCUUUGCUUACAGUAUAUACAUAUCUAUGUAGUACCCAGAUACAUGCAAGGGUGGACAAAAUAUUAUUUUCCCUGUAAUGUUUAAGGUUUUCAGUCACUUCUGUUGCUGCUUAUCAUGGUUUUUUGUCUCAUCUGCAUAGCAAUGUUCUGUGUUUCAAUAACUAUAGGAGAUCACCACCUACAUAAAUAAGUAUAUAAAUGGAAGUAUUUAUGGACUGAAACAAAGAGGCUGAAAUGCUGUA